GCUUCCUGAAAAUCUGCGCCCUGGGCGCCUCCCUAGCCUCACCUGCGUUGGGCCCUACUUGGGGCCGGGCACCGUUUUGAUUGUUGGCAAAAGGUGGUGGAGGAGACCAAAUUAUGGCAUCCUGGUUCACAACGACGAGUAUUUUUGCCUUCUGAUUCUGAUAUAUCACUGAGAUGAGAAGGAAUGACUGCAUCCAUUUUACAUAUGGAAAACCCCAGGCGGAAGUGUUUUGCUCAAGGUGACACAAGGAGUUCCGGCCAUCUUCUGCACAAGCUUCAUUCCUGUGGCUCCCGCCAAUGACAAAGCUGCACGAACAGCUACGGCCCUUACACGACGCAGCUUCCGAGAAUAAGGCCGCAGUGUCUUUCACAGCAUGCCCAGCACAUGUCUCCCUGGACCUCAUUGGCUGUGAUCGGGUCAGGUGCCCGCCCCUCAACCAAUCACUGACAGGGAAAGGUCUCCAGGAACUCAUCAAUGGUCACCACCCCGUCCUGAUUCCGGUCCAUUUUCUGUAACUCAAGGCAUGUCCUCAGCAGCCAGGGGAGACAGAGCAACCAAGGCACAGGACGGGCCACCAGCAAAUGCGACGUGGAAGCUUCAGCC